ACAUGCAAGUCGAACGAGAAAGUGGAGCAAUCCAUGAGUACAGUGGCGACCGGGUGAGUAACACGUGACUAACCUACCUUCGAGUGGGGGAUAACCUCGGGAAACCGAGGCUAAUACCGCAUAACAUCGUGAGAUCAAAGCAGCAAUGCGCUGGAAGAGGGGGUCGCGGCUGAUUAGCUAGUUGGCGGGGUAACGGCCCACCAAGGCGAAGAUCGGUAGCCGGCCUGAGAGGGCGCACGGCCACACUGGAACUGAAACACGGUCCAGACUCCUACGGGAGGCAGCAGUGGGGAAUUUUGCGCAAUGGGGGAAACCCUGACGCAGCAACGCCGCGUGGAGGAUGAAGCCCCUUGGGGCGUAAACUCCUUUCGACCAAGACGAUAAUGACGGUACUGGUGGAAGAAGCACCGGCUAACUCUGUGCCAGCAGCCGCGGUAAUACAGAGGGUGCGAGCGUUGUUCGGAAUUAUUGGGCGUAAAGGGCGCGUAGGCGGCGCAGCAAGUCACUUGUGAAAUCUCCAAGCUUAACUUGGAGCCUGGAGGCGAAACUGCUGUGCU
rnacentral:rRNA from 1 species